CACCUCGGGUGACAGGGAGACAGGUGUGCAUGGUUGUCGUCAGCUCGUGUCGUGAGAUGUUGGGUUAAGUCCCGCAACGAGCGCAACCCCUACGUUUAGUUGCUAACAGGUGAAGCUGAGCACUCUAGACGAACUGCCGUUGACAAACGGAGGAAGUGGGGAUGACGUCAAAUCAUCAUGCCCUUUAUGUCCUGGGCUACACACGUACUACAAUGGCCGUUACAACGGGAAGCGAAGGAGCAAUCCGGAGCAAAUCCCUUAAAGGCGGUCCCAGUUCAGAUUGUGGGCUGAAACUCGCCCACAUGAAGGCGGAAUUGCUAGUAAUUGCAGAUCAGCAUGCUGCAGUGAAUACGUUCCCGGGCCUU
rnacentral:rRNA from 1 species